rnacentral:tRNA from 1 species
GGUCCCGUAGUGUAGCGGUUAUCACGUCGCCCUGUCACGGCGAAAAUCGCGGGUUCGAUUCCCGUCGGGACCG